rnacentral:rRNA from 1 species
AUGGCGGAGGAACCGUCCACCAAGCGUCAUCAUGCCGAGACGUCGGACAAGAGGAGCAACCUCGUCGACAUUAACACGUCGGACAAGAGGAGCAACCUCGUUGACAUUAACGUCCCCGGCGAGAAGCGCGAGUACACCAGAACGCUCAAAGGGGUUGAGCUCCACGGCAAGGAGAUGCUGGAGAUCGUCUGCACCAGCGAACCAGACAAGGCCGACGAGAUGAUGAGCAGGCUCAGGAUGAAGGGAGGCGGCUUGUAUCCGAGCUUCAUCGGAGUUGAUGUGGAGUACACCGACGAGGAAAAACCUCCACAGAUGGCGGCAGUCCUGCAGUUGUGCGUCGAGGAACUCUGCUUGGUGUACUACAUCGCAGCGGCCACAAAAUGGCCCAAGCGCCUCAAAGACUUCCUGCGGGAGGAGAAAUUGUACACAUUUGUUGGUUUCAGCAUUGGAGGUGACAAGCGGAUGCUGGAGGAGUCUGGUUUGGAAAUCAACCCCAACAACUUCAUCGACAUGCAGCGCAAGUGGAAAGAUCCAAAGACCAACAAAUACUACGACUCCUUGGUCAAUGUUGCAGGCGGUGUCAUCCAUCCAUUAUACGAAGGCAUGAAGAAGAAGAUGAACAGGGCACACCACAAACUGUGGGGGAACAGCCCGCUGCCAGACAACCUCAUCACGUACGCACGAAUAGAUGCGUACGCAACAUACAAGUCAUGGAAGACAAUCGACAACAUCGUGACAUGUUGGGAUAUUUCAAAAGAGCAGGAGGCUGACCCCUACUACCAUUGCAACUUCGCGGAUGAAGAUGCAUGA